rnacentral:rRNA from 1 species
CAGUAGCCACGGUAAUACGAAGGGUGCAAGCGUUAAUCGGAAUUACUGGGCGUAAAGCGUGCGUAGGCGGUUUCUUAAGUCUGCUGUGAAAUCCCCGGGCUCAACCUGGGAAUGGCAGUGGAUACUGGGAAGCUAGAGUGUGUCAGAGGAUGGUGGAAUUCCCGGUGUAGCGGUGGAAUGCGUAGAGAUCGGGAGGAACAUCAGUGGCGAAGGCGGCCAUCUGGGACAACACUGACGCUGAGGCACGAAAGCGUGGGGAGCAAACAGGAUUAGAUACCCCUGUAGUCCCUGUCUCUUAUAC